UUGAGCCGAUGUGUCUUGAAAGGGACUUGCACGGUUCUUAGGGGAGAAAGGGGCAGGGAUGCCCCUAACUUACCCGAC
rnacentral:sRNA from 1 species